UACGUAGGGUGCAAGCGUUGUCCGGAAUUAUUGGGCGUAAAGAGCGCGCAGGCGGCUGGUCAAGUCCGAUGUGAAAGCUCCCGGCUUAACUGGGAAAUUGCAUCGGAAACUGAUCGGCUGGAAGGUGGGAGAGGGUAGCGGAAUUCCCGGUGUAGUGGUGAAAUGCGUAGAUAUCGGGAGGAACACCAGUGGCGAAAGCGGCUACCUGGCCCAUUCUUGACGCUGAGGCGCGAAAGCUAGGGGAGCAAACGGG
rnacentral:rRNA from 1 species